rnacentral:rRNA from 1 species
GACGAACGCUGGCGGCGUGCUUAACACAUGCAAGUCGAACGGAAAGGCCCUGCUUUUGUGGGGUGCUCGAGUGGCGAACGGGUGAGUAACACGUGAGUAACCUGCCCUUGACUUUGGGAUAACUUCAGGAAACUGGGGCUAAUACCGGAUAGGAGCUCCUGCUGCAUGGUGGGGGUUGGAAAGUUUCGGCGGUUGGGGAUGGACUCGCGGCUUAUCAGCUUGUUGGUGGGGUAGUGGCUUACCAAGGCUUUGACGGGUAGCCGGCCUGGGAGGGUGACCGGCCACAUUGGGACUGAGAUACGGCGCAGACUCCUACGGGAGGCAGCAGUGGGAAAUAUUGCACAAUGGGCGGAAGCCUGAUGCAGCAACGCCGCGUGCGGGAUGACGGCCUUCGGGUUGUAAACCGCUUUCGCCUGUGACGAAGCGUGAGUGACGGUAAUGGGUAAAGAAGCACCGGCUAACUACGUG